GAACUAAGCAUAUCCAAUAAGCGGAGGAAAAGAACCCACCAGGGAUUACCUCAGUAACGGCGAGUGAAGCGGUAACAGCUCAAAUUUGAAAUCUGGCUCUUUCAGGGUCCGAAUUGUAAUUUGUAGAAGAUGCUUCGAGUGUAGCUCCGGUCUAAGUUCCUUGGAACAGGACGUCAUAGAGGGUGAGAAUCCCGUAUGUGACUGGUGGCUUUCGCUCAUGUGAAGCUCUUUCGACGAGUCGAGUUGUUUGGGAAUGCAGCUCAAAAUGGGUGGUAUAUUUCAUCUAAAGCUAAAUAUUGGCCAGAGACCGAUAGCGCACAAGUAGAGUGAUCGAAAGAUGAAAAGCACUUUGGAAAGAGAGUUAAACAGUACGUGAAAUUGUUGAAAGGGAAGCGCUUGCAACCAGACUUGCAUGCUGUUAAUCAUCAGGAGUUCUCUCCUGUGCACUUGGCAGUGUUCAGGCCAGCAUCGAUUUUGGUGGUUGGAUAAAGACCUUAGGAAUGUGGCAUCUUUCGGGGUGUGUUAUAGCCUUCGGUGCAAUGCAGCCAACUGGGAUCGAGGACCGCGCUUCGGCUAGGAUGCUGGCGUAAUGGUUGUAAGCGACCCGUCUUGAAACACGGACCAAGGAGUCUAACAUCUAUGCGAGUGUUUGGGUGUUAAACCCAUACGCGGAAUGAAAGUGAACGGAGGUAAGAACCCUUAAGGGUGCAUUAUCGACCGAUCCUGAUGUCUUCGGAUGGAUUUGAGUAAGAGCAUAGCUGUUGGGACCCGAAAGAUGGUGAACUAUGCGUGAAUAGGGUGAAGCCAGAGGAAACUCUGGUGGAGGCUCGCAGCGGUUCUGACGUGCAAAUCGAUCGUCAAAUUUGCGCAUAGGGGCGAAAGACUAAUCGAACUAUCUAGUAGCUGGUUCCUGCCGAAGUUUCCCUCA
rnacentral:rRNA from 1 species